AAAGUGGCGGCGUGCUAUACAUGCAAGUCGAACGCACAGCGAAAGGUGCUUGCACCUUUCAAGUGAGUGGCGAACGGGUGAGUAACACGUGGACAACCUGCCUCAAGGCUGGGGAUAACAUUUGGAAACAGAUGCUAAUACCGAAUAAAACUUAGUGUCGCAUGACACAAAGUUAAAAGGCGCUUCGGCGUCACCUAGAGAUGGAUCCGCGGUGCAUUAGUUAGUUGGUGGGGUAAAGGCCUACCAAGACAAUGAUGCAUAGCCGAGUUGAGAGACUGAUCGGCCACAUUGGGACUGAGACACGGCCCAAACUCCUACGGGAGGCUGCAGUAGGGAAUCUUCCACAAUGGGCGAAAGCCUGAUGGAGCAACGCCGCGUGUGUGAUGAAGGCUUUCGGGUCGUAAAGCACUGUUGUAUGGGAAGAACAGCUAGAAUAGGAAAUGAUUUUAGUUUGACGGUACCAUACCAGAAAGGGACGGCUAAAUACGUGCCAGCAGCCGCGGUAAUACGUAUGUCCCGAGCGUUAUCCGGAUUUAUUGGGCGUAAAGCGAGCGCAGACGGUUUAUUAAGUCUGAUGUGAAAGCCCGGAGCUCAACUCCGGAAUGGCAUUGGAAACUGGUUAACUUGAGUGCAGUAGAGGUAAGUGGAACUCCAUGUGUAGCGGUGGAAUGCGUAGAUAUAUGGAAGAACACCAGUGGCGAAGGCGGCUUACUGGACUGCAACUGACGUUGAGGCUCGAAAGUGUGGGUAGCAAACAGGAUUAGAUACCCUGGUAGUCCACACCGUAAACGAUGAACACUAGGUGUUAGGAGGUUUCCGCCUCUUAGUGCCGAAGCUAACGCAUUAAGUGUUCCGCCUGGGGAGUACGACCGCAAGGUUGAAACUCAAAGGAAUUGACGGGGACCCGCACAAGCGGUGGAGCAUGUGGUUUAAUUCGAAGCAACGCGAAGAACCUUACCAGGUCUUGACAUCCUUUGAAGCUUUUAGAGAUAGAAGUGUUCUCUUCGGAGACAAAGUGACAGGUGGUGCAUGGUCGUCGUCAGCUCGUGUCGUGAGAUGUUGGGUUAAGUCCCGCAACGAGCGCAACCCUUAUUGUUAGUUGCCAC
rnacentral:rRNA from 1 species